UGGGGAAUCUUCCGCAAUGGACGAAAGUCUGACGGAGCAAUGCCACGUGAGUGAUGACGGCCUUCGGGUUGUAAAGCUCUGUUAAUCGGGACGAAAGGUCUUCUUGCGAAUAGUUAGAAGAAUUGACGGUACCGGAAUAGAAAGCCACGGCUAACUACGUGCCAGCAGCCGCGGUAAUACGUAGGUGGCAAGCGUUGUCCGGAAUUAUUGGGCGUAAAGCGCGCGCAGGCGGAUCAGUUAGUCUGUCUUAAAAGUUCGGGGCUUAACCCCGUGAUGGGAUGGAAACUGCUGAUCUAGAGUAUCGGAGAGGAAAGUGGAAUUCCUAGUGUAGCGGUGAAAUGCGUAGAUAUUAGGAAGAACACCAGUGGCGAAGGCGACUUUCUGGACGAAAACUGACGCUGAGGCGCGAAAGCCAGGGGAGCGAACGGGAUUAGAUACCCCGGUAGUCCUGGCCGUAAACGAUGGGUACUAGGUGUAGGAGGUAUCGACCCCUUCUGUGCCGGAGUUAACGCAAUAAGUACCCCGCCUGGGGAGUACGACCGCAAGGUUG
rnacentral:rRNA from 1 species